CCUUACUAAUAGUCAUAUUAUCACUUUACAAAACAUAGUAAUACUAUGUUUUUUAAAGUGAUAAUAUUUAUAAUUUGAGUUAUAUUGUAAAUAUUAUAACUUUAAUUUUAAUUUGUAGUAUAAGGUUUUAUAUGAAAAAAUAUUUAAAUAAUUUAUAUUAUGAAUUACUUGUAAAUAAUAGUAAUUAAUAAUAAAAAUGAUAAACUGCCCAGUUAACCACAACAACUGGGUCCCAGCUGGAAUGUAACUAGAUUAUUGGAACUGAGUUAUGGCUGGGAUUUGAACUGGGUAAAAGAUGGGUCCCAUAUGGUGCAACAAUUGCGGCUAAAAUUAUGCUUGAAAAUAUGAUAAAAUCUUUUAAAAUGACAUAUGCAGUAAAGCAGAUUGAUUUGGAUUGAAUAUACACUUGCCUUUAUAGUGAACAGGAACUUAAUUUGCUAUAUUGUCUGCGACAACACAAAUUCAAAAUGAGGAAGCCUUUUAGCAGAAAUACCUUCAGGUAUCAUUUUUUCCAAAAUCGAGUUGUAAAUGCGUGGAACAGCUUACCAUCCAAAAUAAUAGAAGCUACUUCAAUAAAUAACUUCAAAAACAAACUAGACAGAGCUGGAUUUUGCAGAAACUAUUUGUUAAAACACAAACAAAAGACAAAAUGAGCUGUUACAGUGCAAUAUCUUAUGUUAUUGCACUUCGCAACUGUUUAAAACAGUUGUUACA